rnacentral:misc_RNA from 1 species
UCCGGUUUGUCACCGGCAGUCUCGCAUGAGUCCCCAACUUAAUGCUGGCAACAUGCGACGAGGGUUGCGCUCGUUGCGGGACUUAACCCAACACCUCACGGCACGAGCUGACAACAGCCAUGCAACAUCUGUGCGUCUGCCCCGAAGGGAGACCCGCUUUCGCGGGCUGUCAGACGCAUGUCAAGUCCAGGUAAGGUUCUUCGCUUAUCAUCGUAUUAAACCACACGCUCCGCUGCUUGUGCGGGGACCCGUCAAUUCCUUUGAGUUUUAGCCUUGCGGCCGUACUCCCCAGGCGGGGUACUUAUCGCGUUAGUUAUUCUGUCUAGCGAGACUGCUCCUAAAAGGGGAGAGGAAGGUGGGGAUG